ensembl:lncRNA
CCUAACCCCCCGGUCGGUCCCAGCGAGCCGCAACUUCUUGCUCCCGAGCGGGCUCGCUUUUGGCGUGUCAGCCCGCACAAUGCGGGGCUAAUUCCUGCUGCAAAAGGGAAAACAGUUUGGCUCCAUUGUCGGGUUGCCAAGACCGCCUUUUGAGAAAGGGAGCCCGGCUCGCCUCUGAUCAAACUCAAAGGCACCAAAAUGACAUUUUCUCCCAGGACCCUAAUGCACGUUCACACCGUCUCUGGGUGCCUUCAGCCUUUCCCUGCACUCUCCUGCAAUGCUCUAGUGAGGUGUUUGGUGAAACAGACACACAGCACAGCUCCUACACCUCCUGCAUUCCGUUCUCUCCAAAGCCUUGCACCCAAGUUUCCCUGCCACAUGAAUGCGCGGUAGCGAUAGCUUUCAAUAGGUCUGUGCCCUUGACAGUAGGUAUUGCAGUAGGGAAAAAGAAGUGAACAUAUGAUUACUGGGUCUGGGGUACAUUUUAAAUAUGUUUUCCUAAAAAACAAACAAACAAACAAACAAACAAAAAAACCUAAAGAACAAGAUAUACAAUAUACAGUAAGUGUGGUGAGGCAGUGGAACAGAUCUUGCAGAGAGAUUGUGCACCCAGCUAUUGUAAGCAAUCACUGUCUGUAAGUAGACAUCCAGGCUUGGGCUUUCCUGGUCAAAACAGGGAUUUUUCCAAGCAUCUACAUUGUAACAGAGAUCUGCAUCUUUAUAUAUAAAUCUGAACCUUUCUCUAUCUAUCUAUCUAUCUAUCUAUAUAUAUAUAUAUAAGGGAAAAGUUUUUACAAUCAGGAUGGUGUGGUACUGGCACAGGUUGCCCAGGGAGGUCGUGGAUACCCCAUCCCUGGAGACACUCAAGGUCAGGCCGGAGGGGUUCUGAGCACCCUGAUGUAGUUGUAGAUGUCCCUGUUCAUUGCAGGGGUGUUGGUCUGGAUGGCCUUUAAGGUUCCUUCCAACUCAAAUGAUUCUAUGAUUCUUACUGUGAGUAAAGUCCCAGAUCAUCACUUGAAUCUGUUCUAUGUUCUUGUUGCCUUUGAUGUCCCAUUGCACAUACCUGCCUAUGUUAAGGACACACACUAAGGACACACUGUGUACACCACAGCUUCUGUAGGCAGCCUUUGCUAGGGGGUGGAAGGCAGGAGAGAGUACUGUUGUGUGUUAUGGGCAUUAAGCCACGUGUGUGUUGAAAAAAAAAGCCCAUAACAUGACAGGAAAAUAUCAAGUACCUGAAAAUAAGGAGUGUCUCCAGCCCUAUAAGAGGUAGGAUGAGAGGUAAUGGCCUCAAGUUGUGCCAGGGGUGUUCAGGUUGGAUAUUAGAAAACAUUUCUUCUGCCUCAG